GAUGAACGCUGGCGGCGUGCCUAAUACAUGCAAGUCGAGCGAACAGACGAGAGUGCUUGCACUCUCUGACGUUAGCGGCGGACGGGUGAGUAACACGUGGGUAACCUACCUAUAAGACUGGGAUAACUUCGGGAAACCGGAUCUAAUACCGGAUAAUAUUUAGCUUCGCAUGACGCAAUAGUGAAAGACGGUUCUGCUGUCACUUAUAGAUGGACCCGCGGUGUAUUAGCUAGUUGGUGAGGUAACGGCUCACCAAGGCAACGAUACAUAGCCGACCUGAGAGGGUGAUCGGCCACACUGGGACUGAGACACGGCCCAGACUCCUACGGGAGGCAGCAGUAGGGAAUCUUCCGCAAUGGACGAAAGUCUGACGGAGCAAUGCCGCGUGAGUGAAGAAGGUUUUCGGAUCGUAAAACUCUGUUGUAAGGGAAGAACAAGUACGUUAGUAACUGAACGUACCUUGACGGUACCUGACCAGAAAGCCACGGCUAACUACGUG
rnacentral:rRNA from 1 species